rnacentral:lncRNA from 1 species
UGAAAAGACAAUUUCAUAUACUGAAACAAUAAUGGUUGAAUUUUAUUUACUAAGUCCUAUAUGUCAGAUCCCAUUUUAUAUUUUAUGUAUAUUUUGACAUUUAAUUUUCAGAACAACAAUACAAUUUGAUAUUUUACCUAUUUUUCAGUUGUGGAUACUAAGAAGAGUUCAAGAACUUGCCCAGUGCCUUCAACCAGAUAAGACUGAGCUAAGAUUUGGACCUAGAGGCUACUAAGAGGCCAUGGUCUUACUCAUCUCUUGAAAGCUACUUUCAUUUAUGGAAAAUACACAAUGCCAGCAAGAGACACAGGGAGGAAAACAGGAGCCAUAAAUAAGAAGCUGAAAGAAAGAGCUGUUCUGCUAAAUCUUGGUGGUGGGCUGCAAUCAGUCUUUGGGAUUAAAAACAAAAAAUAAAAAACCAAAACCCCUGUAAUAAGGCAGAGAUCUACCCACUGAGAAUGGUUUUUUGAAGGGAGAAGAAGGGACAGCCAUACAGGGCUAGUGCCAUAGGAACACACGUUUUGAAUCUGGUGAGUUGAAUUGGAUGAUUUCUAAAUUUAGAGAGAAAUUUCUUUUAGUCACUAUAGCCAUUACUGACUUCUGUUUGUAGGUUUGGUGAGUAGACACCCCUUCUACUCUUCACUACCCCCUUAGGUAUCAUUCGUUUUCUUUCACAACUUUUAUAUCUCUACAAUGGUUUACCGCCUAUGUUCUCAUUCUCUAGGUGUGCAUUCUAAAACAUCAACUUUGGUGCCAAGAAUUGGACACUUUGGCCACUGUUUUGCAGUAUGCCUCUCUGCCAUAGAGAUGGAAACUCUGAGGAAGAGAAAGAAAUCCAAGUCUACUUUUCUUCACCUUGAUGUUUUGAUUCCAUGGAUCUUAUGAAAUACACUACAGAAUACAAGUAAGAGUCAGUUUUGCUUCAUAUUGUGAGUAUUCACCCUGGCAUACCUUUAGGUAAAUUCAUGAGUAUUAGAGUCUCACUGGGUUAAAUAGAAAUAGGAGUGUUACCACAUGUUCUCACUCAUUAGUGAGAGUCGAACAAUGAGAACACAUGGACGCAGGGAGUGGAACAUCACACACUGGGGCCUGUCGGGGGCAUGGGGGGCUAGGGGAGGGAUAGCAUUAGGAGAAAUGCCUAAUAUAGAUGACAGGUUGAUUGGUGCAGCAAACCACUGUGGCAUGUGUAUACCUAUG